rnacentral:rRNA from 1 species
AUAUCACUAAGCGGAGGAAAGAACUAACUAGGAUGUCCUUAGUAACGGCGAGUGAAGCGGACAUAGCUCAAAUUUAAAUCUAGAGGUCCUUCAGGGCCUCUCGAAUUGUAGUUUACCGAUCGGACGUCACGGGGGGUGGCGCAGUACGAUACCUUCCGAGAGACACUCGUAGAGGGUGGAGAAUACCGUCCCGACGACCGUCCGGUUGGCCCUUCCCCUAACAACGUUCGUUCGGUCCCUUUUCGUUAGAUGGUACGGGGUUUGGUUUUGGGUAGGUNUCGAGACCUAAACUAAGGGUGGGUAGUAUCUCAUCCUAACGACUAAUAAUCUCGGGAGGGACCACGUAGCGAAGAAGUACUAGUGUAUGGUAAAGGUAGUGUACGUGGGAGGGCAACGGACGCAACAGGGGAGGUAG